GUGGGGAAUAUUGGACAAUGGGCGAAAGCCUGAUCCAGCCAUGCCGCGUGUGUGAAGAAGGUCUUCGGAUUGUAAAGCACUUUAAGUUGGGAGGAAGGGCAGUAAGUUAAUACCUUGCUGUUUUGACGUUACCGACAGAAUAAGCACCGGCUAACUUCGUGCCAGCAGCCGCGGUAAUACGAAGGGUGCAAGCGUUAAUCGGAAUUACUGGGCGUAAAGCGCGCGUAGGUGGUUUUGUAAGUUGGAGGUGAAAUCCCCGGGCUCAACCUGGGAACUGCCUCCAAAACUGCAUGACUAGAGUACGGUAGAGGGUAGUGGAAUUUCCUGUGUAGCGGUGAAAUGCGUAGAUAUAGGAAGGAACACCAGUGGCGAUGGCGACUACCUGGACUGAUACUGACACUGAGGUGCGAAAGCGUGGGGAGCAAACAGGAUUAGAAACCCUUGUAGUCC
rnacentral:rRNA from 1 species